AAAUUGAAGAGUUUGAUCAUGGCUCAGAUUGAACGCUGGCGGCAGGCCUAACACAUGCAAGUCGAGCGGUAGCACAGAGAGCUUGCUCUCGGGUGACGAGCGGCGGACGGGUGAGUAAUGUCUGGGAAACUGCCUGAUGGAGGGGGAUAACUACUGGAAACGGUAGCUAAUACCGCAUAAUGUCGCAAGACCAAAGUGGGGGACCUUCGGGCCUCAUGCCAUCAGAUGUGCCCAGAUGGGAUUAGCUAGUAGGUGGGGUAACGGCUCACCUAGGCGACGAUCCCUAGCUGGUCUGAGAGGAUGACCAGCCACACUGGAACUGAGACACGGUCCAGACUCCUACGGGAGGCAGCAGUGGGGAAUAUUGCACAAUGGGCGCAAGCCUGAUGCAGCCAUGCCGCGUGUGUGAAGAAGGCCUUCGGGUUGUAAAGCACUUUCAGCGGGGAGGAAGGCGGUGAGGUUAAUAACCUCACCGAUUGACGUUACCCGCAGAAGAAGCACCGGCUAACUCCGUGCCAGCAGCCGCGGUAAUACGGAGGGUGCAAGCGUUAAUCGGAAUUACUGGGCGUAAAGCGCACGCAGGCGGUCUGUCAAGUCGGAUGUGAAAUCCCCGGGCUCAACCUGGGAACUGCAUUCGAAACUGGCAGGCUAGAGUCUUGUAGAGGGGGGUAGAAUUCCAGGUGUAGCGGUGAAAUGCGUAGAGAUCUGGAGGAAUACCGGUGGCGAAGGCGGCCCCCUGGACAAAGACUGACGCUCAGGUGCGAAAGCGUGGGGAGCAAACAGGAUUAGAUACCCUGGUAGUCCACGCCGUAAACGAUGUCGAUUUGGAGGUUGUGCCCUUGAGGCGUGGCUUCCGGAGCUAACGCGUUAAAUCGACCGCCUGGGGAGUACGGCCGCAAGGUUAAAACUCAAAUGAAUUGACGGGGGCCCGCACAAGCGGUGGAGCAUGUGGUUUAAUUCGAUGCAACGCGAAGAACCUUACCUGGUCUUGACAUCCACAGAACUUUCCAGAGAUGGAUUGGUGCCUUCGGGAACUGUGAGACAGGUGCUGCAUGGCUGUCGUCAGCUCGUGUUGUGAAAUGUUGGGUUAAGUCCCGCAACGAGCGCAACCCUUAUCCUUUGUUGCCAGCGGUCCGGCCGGGAACUCAAAGGAGACUGCCAGUGAUAAACUGGAGGAAGGUGGGGAUGACGUCAAGUCAUCAUGGCCCUUACGACCAGGGCUACACACGUGCUACAAUGGCAUAUACAAAGAGCAGCGACCUCGCGAGAGCAAGCGGACCUCAUAAAGUAUGUCGUAGUCCGGAUUGGAGUCUGCAACUCGACUCCAUGAAGUCGGAAUCGCUAGUAAUCGUAGAUCAGAAUGCUACGGUGAAUACGUUCCCGGGCCUUGUACACACCGCCCGUCACACCAUGGGAGUGGGUUGCAAAAGAAGUAGGUAGCUUAACCUUCGGGAGGGCGCUUACCACUUUGUGAUUCAUGACUGGGGUGAAGUCGUAACAAGGUAACCGUAGGGGAACCUGCGGUUGGAUCACCUCCUUA
rnacentral:rRNA from 1 species